rnacentral:rRNA from 1 species
AUGAACGCUAGCUACAGGCUUAACACAUGCAAGUCGAGGGGCAGCAUGGUCUUAGCUUGCUAAGACUGAUGGCGACCGGCGCACGGGUGAGUAACACGUAUCCAACCUGCCGUCUACUCUUGGACAGCCUUCUGAAAGGAAGAUUAAUACAAGAUGGCAUCAUGAGUCCACAUGUUCACAUGAUUAAAGGUAUUCCGGUAGACGAUGGGGAUGCGUUCCAUUAGAUAGUAGGCGGGGUAACGGCCCACCUAGUCUUCGAUGGAUAGGGGUUCUGAGAGGAAGGUCCCCCACAUUGGAACUGAGACACGGUCCAAACUCCUACGGGAGGCAGCAGUGAGGAAUAUUGGUCAAUGGGCGAGAGCCUGAACCAGCCAAGUAGCGUGAAGGAUGACUGCCCUAUGGGUUGUAAACUUCUUUUAUAAAGGAAUAAAGUCGGGUAUGCAUACCCGUUUGCAUGUACUUUAUGAAUAAGGAUCGGCUAACUCCGUGCCAGCAGCCGCGGUAAUACGGAGGAUCCGAGCGUUAUCCGGAUUUAUUGGGUUUAAAGGGAGCGUAGAUGGAUGUUUAAGUCAGUUGUGAAAGUUUGCGGCUCAACCGUAAAAUUGCAGUUGAUACUGGAUAUCUUGAGUGCAGUUGAGGCAGGCGGAAUUCGUGGUGUAGCGGUGAAAUGCUUAGAUAUCACGAAGAACUCCGAUUGCGAAGGCAGCCUGCUAAGCUGCAACUGACAUUGAGGCUCGAAAGUGUGGGUAUCAAACAGGAUUAGAUACCCUGGUAGUCCACACGGUAAACGAUGAAUACUCGCUGUUUGCGAUAUACAGCAAGCGGCCAAGCGAAAGCGUUAAGUAUUCCACCUGGGGAGUACGCCGGCAACGGUGAAACUCAAAGGAAUUGACGGGGGCCCGCACAAGCGGAGGAACAUGUGGUUUAAUUCGAUGAUACGCGAGGAACCUUACCCGGGCUUAAAUUGCAGAUGAAUUACGGUGAAAGCCGUAAGCCGCAAGGCAUCUGUGAAGGUGCUGCAUGGUUGUCGUCAGCUCGUGCCGUGAGGUGUCGGCUUAAGUGCCAUAACGAGCGCAACCCUUGUUGUCAGUUACUAACAGGUCCUGCUGAGGACUCUGACAAGACUGCCAUCGUAAGAUGUGAGGAAGGUGGGGAUGACGUCAAAUCAGCACGGCCCUUACGUCCGGGGCUACACACGUGUUACAAUGGGGGGUACAGAGGGCCGCUACCACGCGAGUGGAUGCCAAUCCCCAAAACCUCUCUCAGUUCGGACUGGAGUCUGCAACCCGACUCCACGAAGCUGGAUUCGCUAGUAAUCGCGCAUCAGCCACGGCGCGGUGAAUACGUUCCCGGGCCUUGUACACACCGCCCGUCAAGCCAUGGGAGCCGGGGGUACCUGAAGUGCGUAACCGCGAGGAGCGCCCUAGGGUAAAAC